rnacentral:rRNA from 1 species
AUUGAACGCUGGCGGCAUGCUUUACACAUGCAAGUCGAACGGCAACACGGGGGCAACCCUGGUGGCGAGUGGCGAACGGGUGAGUAAUACAUAGGAACGUAUCCUGAAAUGGGGGAUAGCUCGGCGAAAGCCGGAUUAAUACCGCAUACGAUCUACGGAUGAAAGCAGGGGAUUCGCAAGAACCUUGCGUUUCUGGAGCGGCCUAUGUCUGAUUAGCUAGUUGGCGGGGAAAAGCCCACCAAGGCGACGAUCAGUAGCUGGUCUGAGAGGAUGAUCAGCCACACUGGGACUGAGACACGGCCCAGACUCCUACGGGAGGCAGCAGUGGGGAAUUUUGGACAAUGGGGGCAACCCUGAUCCAGCCAUGCCGCGUGAGUGAAGAAGG